GGUACGUACGGGCCAGGGGCGGGGGGAAUGCGGCGGGGGCAAGCGGUGUCCGGUGUCAUAGGGCGUAAAGAGCGUGUAGGCGGCCAGGCAGGUCCGCUGUGAAAACGCGAGGCUCAACCUCGAGAUGUCGGUGGAAACCGUCUGGCUAGAGUCCGGAAGAGGAGAGUGGAAUUCCCGGUGUAGCGGUGAAAGGCGCAGAUAUCGGGAAGAACACCCGUGGCGAAGGCGGCUCUCUGGGACGGUACUGACGCUGAGACGCGAAAGCGUGGGGAGCGAACAGGAUUAGAUACCCGUGUAGUC
rnacentral:rRNA from 1 species